GCUGCUGGAAGGAGCUGUGGCUGCGGCGGAGAUACGCAUUGCGCAGCGGAGAGUGCGCUCAGGCACCGCCGCACGGAUCCCGGCCGCUGGACCGCUGUGCUCCCGGGAAUAUGCGUUAUCAAUGGGACUAAAUAAUCGCAUGCAUCUGGAUUAUACCUUCCUACGAUGCUCUGCUGAUACAGAUCACUGGAUUUACAGAUGUCACAGAUCGAGCGAUAGCAUCAGACCAUUGAAUAUGGGACCAAAAAGAUCUGUACUGGGAAUUUUACGAUUGUGGGAAAACUGGAAGUCGAUCAGGAACAAGCUGCAUGCCUCUAUCUCCAGGAGAGUACAGCAUUUGUCAGUGCAGGACAAUUUACAGACAUUUUACAUUUUAGACAAAGUAGUUAAACACCCAAACUAGUUUUACUGCUGACUGGAGUCAGCUACUAGGCGAGUUAUUAAACUACUGUCUGCCAGA